rnacentral:lncRNA from 1 species
UUAACUUAGGAUUUCUGAAAAGUUUCACAGCAGCAGACCUCAAGGCUGAACAGCAUUGCUUAAUUCACAGAAUGGGUACAACAUGAGCUGUGGCAGAACAAGUCUCUCUACCACUAUGAAUCCAGGGCUGAGAGGCCUAAUAUCACUUUUCAAUGGAAAAUGAAAGACUCAGCACCUCUCAAAAGCAAAGUUAUUCGGAAGGUGCACAACAAGCGUCCACUAAUAACCAGGCACAUGAAGCCAGAUACAUGUCAGCUGUUAAUCAGUGUAGCUACCCUGACUUCUGUGGGACUACACACAUUUAUACCAGCUGAGGAACUAGCUUGUGAUUUUUUUACAGGUACUGAUGCUACAGAGUACAUAAGCACAUGGGUAGUGGCAAUGAAGCAUUUGCUGAAUUGGGACCUCAGCGAGCAGUGGUGAAAUGAAACUAGUUCAGCAUAACCACCUACAUCUGGAUUAGGAUACUACACGACUGCAAAGUUUAUUUCUCCCUUUUAAGGCUUUCAAACUUUGACUCGCAUCAAAUUGUUGGAUUGUGUCUCAUGUUUAUGCUUUCUUGCACAAAUACCACCCCACCUUUGAUCUAUAUUAUUUAUGUUCCCCGCCUCUUCCACUUGUCUUUUCCUGUAUGUUGUGCAUGCUCUUCUUUGGAACUAUUCUGAAAUCUUUGAUCUUGCGGCAUCCAUACAGCUGAUUCUAGUCAUUUUCUUUUAAUCAGCAACAAAUGACACUUGUUUCCUAACCACUUUUUCAUUUAUUGACAUUUGUGGCUCAGCCUGCAUUUGUUCUUUAUUUGCUGUGGUUCAGUUUUUAUGCUCUUUGAUUUAUUCGGUGUAAGGCACCUUCAUACAUAUGAAAGGUACA